rnacentral:lncRNA from 1 species
AUGAUUCUCGUCGUAGUGAAGGACGAGGUGCGGCGAUAGUUAUGAAGGUUUUGUGAGAAACGGUUAUGGAAAUUCAGUUGAGUUUUGGUGGAGUUGAAGGGGAAAGAAGAAGAAUGGAAGAGUUUGUUAGAAAUUGGAGAGAGAGCGAAAAAUCGCUGUUAAUCAGAGUAUUUAUAGAAAACUUUGUGUGCGUUUUGGAUUUCUUUGGAGUCGUUUAUGCAAUUGGCUUGCAACUUUCACUUUCUUGUUUUUAAUUUUGCUUGUGGCUGAGCUUUUGCAGGUUACUUCAUGUUGCGUUUUGUCUGCAUGCAGCUUGGAAGUUAGCUUACAAUUCGUGAUGCGUUUGAGCUGGGUUUUCCUGCUGCAGCUUUGGUGUGUUCCCGUUUUGGUGGCUUGGCAUCUUUUGUGUUGCAGCUUUACUUUCAACUUCACAGCUGUUUCCGUUGGCUUUGGAUUGGUACGGCUUAUGCUUUUGGAUUGGAGUUGGUUUAUAUUUUCAUUUUAUGCAGGUGGUAGCUGCAUUUGGUUGUACGUUUGCCUUGUAGCUAUCAUGGCUUUUGUUUUUUCAUUCAAUUUCCAAGUCCUUCAUGGCUCUACCUCAAUAGGUAUGUAUCAAAUAUGGCAUUAAAAUGAAAAAUGGAAGUGGAUAUAGAAUUGGAAUAUGGGUUAUGGGAAUUGAAUAUUGGAUAUGUAAUUAAAACAUGGAUUUGGUUAUGGGUUAAGACUUAAUGGUUAAUUGGAUGUGGGUUGAGUGUGAAUAUGGUUAAUUGUUUUCGUAAAUUGGUUAAAUUUUUUAGAACAUGGAUUUAAUUGGAUAUUG